rnacentral:rRNA from 1 species
UACGUAGGGUGCAAGCGUUAAUCGGAAUUACUGGGCGUAAAGCGUGCGCAGGCGGUUAUGUAAGACAGGUGUGAAAUCCCUCGGCUUAACCGAGGAACUGCCCUCCAAACUGCUUUGCUUGAGGCCGGGAGAGGUGAGUGGAAUUCCCAGUGUAGCGGUGAAAUGCGUAGAUAUUGGGAGGAACACCAGUGGCGAAGGCGGCUCACUGGACCGGUUCUGACGCUGAUGCGCGAAAGCGUGGGGAGCAAACGGG